rnacentral:rRNA from 1 species
AACGCUAGCUACAGGCUUAACACAUGCAAGUCGAGGGGCAGCAUUAUCGAAGCUUGCUUUGAUAGAUGGCGACCGGCGCACGGGUGAGUAACGCGUAUCCAACCUUCCCCAUAGUCAGGAAUAGCCCGGCGAAAGUCGAAUUAAUGCCUGAUGUUUUCCACGGACGGCAUCCGAUGUGGAACAAAGAUUCAUCGCUAUGGGAUGGGGAUGCGUCUGAUUAGCUUGUUGGCGGGGUAACGGCCCACCAAGGCAACGAUCAGUAGGGGUUCUGAGAGGAAGGUCCCCCACAUUGGAACUGAGACACGGUCCAAACUCCUACGGGAGGCAGCAGUGAGGAAUAUUGGUCAAUGGGCGGAAGCCUGAACCAGCCAAGUAGCGUGAGGGAUGACUGCCCUAUGGGUUGUAAACCUCUUUUAUAAGGGAAUAAAAUACGGGACGUGUCCUGUUUUGCAUGUACCUUAUGAAUAAGGACCGGCUAAUUCCGUGCCAGCAGCCGCGGUAAUACGGAAGGUUCGGGCGUUAUCCGGAUUUAUUGGGUUUAAAGGGAGCGCAGGCGGUCUUAUAAGCGUGACGUGAAAUGCAGCGGCUCAACCGUAUGAUGUGCGUCGCGAACUGUGAGACUUGAGUGUAUUCGAUGUCAGCGGAAUUUGUGGUGUAGCGGUGAAAUGCUUAGAUAUCACGAAGAACUCCGAUUG